GGUUUACCUGUGUGACUGCGUACCUUUUGUAUAAUGGGUCAGCGACUUAUAUUCUGUAGCAAGGUUAACCGAAUAGGGGAGCCGGAGGGAAACCGAGUCUUAAUUGGGCGUUAAGUUGCAGGGUAUAGACCCGAAACCCGGUGAUCUAGCCAUGGGCAGGUUGAAGGUUGGGUAACACUAACUGGAGGACCGAACCGACUAAUGUUGAAAAAUUAGCGGAUGACCUGUGGCUGGGGGUGAAAGGCCAAUCAAACCGGGAGAUAGCUGGUUCUCCCCGAAAGCUAUUUAGGUAGCGCCUCGUGAAUUCAUCUCCGGGGGUAGAGCACUGUUUCGGCUAGGGGGCCAUCCCGGCUUACCAACCCGAUGCAAACUGCGAAUACCGGAGAAUGUUAUCACGGGAGACACACGGCGGGUGCUAACGUCCGUCGUGAAGAGGGAAACAACCCAGACCGCCAGCUAAGGUCCCAAAGUCAUGGUUAAGUGGGAAACGAUGUGGGAAGGCCCAGACAGCCAGGAUGUUGGCUUAGAAGCAGCCAUCAUUUAAAGAAAGCGUAAUAGCUCACUGGUCGAGUCGGCCUGCGCGGAAGAUGUAACGGGGCUAAACCAUGCACCGAAGCUGCGGCAGCGACAC
rnacentral:rRNA from 1 species